rnacentral:rRNA from 1 species
AUUGAACGCUGGCGGCAGGCCUAACACAUGCAAGUCGAACGAGUGGCGGACGGGUGAGUAAUGUCUGGGAAACUGCCCGAUGGAGGGGGAUAACUACUGGAAACGGUAGCUAAUACCGCAUACCAUCGGAUGUGCCCAGAUGGGAUUAGCUAGUAGGUGGGGUAACGGCUCACCUAGGCGACGAUCCCUAGCUGGUCUGAGAGGAUGACCAGCCACAGUGGAACUGAGACACGGUCCAGACUCCUACGGGAGGCAGCAGGGGGGAAUAUUGCACAAGGGGAGCAAGCCUGCUGCAGCCAGGCGGCGUGUAUGAAGAAGGCUUUGGGGGUGUAAAGUACUUUCAGAGAGGAGGCGUUACUCGCAGAAGAAGCACCGGCUAACUCCGUGCCAGCAGCCGCGGUAUAC